UACGGAGGGUGCAAGCGUUAUCCGGAUUUAUUGGGUUUAAAGGGUGCGUAGGCGGGCCUGUAAGUCAGCGGUGAAAGUUCAUGGCUCAACCAUGGAAUUGCCGUUGAAACUGUAGGCCUUGAGUAUAGAUGAGGUGGGCGGAAUUCGUAGUGUAGCGGUGAAAUGCUUAGAUAUUACGAAGAACUCCAAUUGCGAAGGCAGCUCACUGGGCUAUAACUGACGCUGAGGCACGAAGGUGCGGGGAUCAAACAGG
rnacentral:rRNA from 1 species